rnacentral:rRNA from 1 species
CAGCAGCCGCGGGAAUACAGAGGGUGCGAGCGUUAAUCGGAUUUACUGGGCGUAAAGCGUGCGCAGGCGGCUUCUUAAGUCGGAUGUGAAAUCCCUGAGCUUAACUUAGGAAUUGCAUUCGAUACUGGGAAGCUAGAGUAUGGGAGAGGAUGGUAGAAUUCCAGGUGUAGCGGUGAAAUGCGUAGAGAUCUGGAGGAAUACCGAUGGCGAAGGCAGCCAUCUGGCCUAAUACUGACGCUGAGGUACGAAAGCAUGGGGAGCAAACAGGAUUAGAUACCCCGGUAGUCCCUGUCUCUUAUAC